CCGGGUUUAUUUAAUGUCUUUAUUAAUGAUCUGAAAGCAAGAGUAAACAACACAUUAAUUACGGCUGCGGAUGACUCGGAGCUGCAAGGUGUUGCAGAUGCUGGCAAAGUGGCACCGCGGGCCUUAAUGAGGUUGGAAGUAAUGCAGUGGGGAGAGAGCUGAGCAUCAUCCAUCAGCAGGAUGCAUCCCGGGGGAGUGGGACCUGAGACACCAACGGGAGGGAGGAAGAAGGUGUGAGCUUCACGGGGUCUCAGCAGGAAGCCUGGAGUUGGGAGGGUGGAGAGAGGAGCCCAGAGAGUGGGGCAAGCAUUCACGUGGCCCCAGCGGGGACGCUGUGUCACCCAAGGGUGAACUAUUGGCUUGGCACCCCAAGGCUCCGGAAUGGGGAGCGAAGCUUCCACUCAGUGCCAUCGUGCUCGGUGUCCAAGCACUGCCUGGCACUCCCUGUCCUGCUGCAGGCCCUUGGCAGCCUCUUCUAUGGGCGGCAGCACCCAAAGGAGCCCAUAUCGGCCCCACAGCCCCAGGGCGGGCACCUCUGUUCUACCCUCGCACCGCCCCGCUAGGAACAAGGGCGCUUUGAGAGCAGGGUGGGCCACGGAGCGGGAGGCCUCUAGCCCUUUAAGAGGGGAAAUUUGUAAUCCGAGCGAAUUCCUCCUUUCUGACAGGCGGGAGAAGCCGCCGGUCCCUCCCUCGCUGCACUUUAUUAAAUAUAGUAGUGGAGCCGCCGUCGGUUGGGAGCGGGAGCGGGCGCAGAGCUCCGGCCGGGAGCACCAUGGCACCCCGACGUGGUCCCCACGCACUGCUGCUGCUGCUGCUGCUGCUGGCCCAGCAGCCCCCUGCCUUCCACGCGGGACCCUCAGCUGCAGGUAAGCCCCAUCCCAACGCCCGCUGCGGGACUCUGUGCUCUGGAGGCGACAGGGCUGGCAGUGGGAGGGCACCCAGCGCGGGUGGCAUGAGCACCCUUAGGUGCCCGAGGAGCUGCUUGCUUUGGGCAGGGUGCUUGCGGCUGUCCUGCGUCCUGCUGGAGGCUUCACAGGGCAGCGGGUGGGACGGGCACGUGUGGGAUGCUGUGCAGGGCUGAGCAGGUGGCGUCCCAGGGCACGCUCUUCUCCCUCCGGGCUUGUUCCUUCUUUCCUCCGUGCACCAAAAUAUCACAGCGCCUGGCAAGCGAAGUGGAAAAUUUCCCUUUGUCAAUGAACAGAGUGCUCUUCUUCCCUCCAGCGCUGACCUUUGGGUCCCGGACGGCGCUCCCACCUCAUGAGUGGGAUCAGUGCUGCGCUACCUCCGGAGGUGCAAACGUUGCCCCACUGCAUCCCAGAGUCUAUGAGUGGCUGCUGCCAGGCUUGGGCCGGGAGGAGGCUUCCAUGGGCACAGCAAAGCCUGCAGAAUGCCCCCGGAGUGCUAACCGAGGGCAGGGCGUGGCGGUGGGGAUAGUGGGACAGCACAGACCUCAGGGCUGGGAAGGGAAGAGGUUUUACACUGAUUUCCCACUGUGCCCAGCCCAAAACGGGCAGCGUGUGUGCAGCAGCCAUGUAUUGCAAAGGGCAAAGUGCCCCGUGUCCCCAUCGGCGCUGUCACCCUGCUGUGCCCACGGGGACAUCCCAUCCUGUGCCCACGGGUGUCACCCCAGAGCCUCUCGGAGUCCCAGGCUCUCCUUGUUCCGAACCUCUUGUACCGAAGGCCCCACAUGUUCUGAGGUCAGCGCUUGGAGCAGCUGGAAAAGUUUCCAGCUGAUGGGAAAGAGCAGGAAAAAGUCUGCCGGGGGGGAAUGCGAACCGGUGUCGUGGGAAUGAGGAGGAAAAUUCUCCUCUCACUCUUAUAUUUAGCAACAGAGGGCUGCAGGCAGAUAUAUAAUAAGCACAUUCCUCGAGGAUCACAACUUGGGGUUAAGCUCGGCCCCGAGGAGCAAACAUUAGGGUGCGGGCAGCGCGGGAAUGCAGCUCACUGGGUGCUGGGUGGGAAUGUGUGCCUAAACUGGGCUCUGGGCACGGCCAUAGGCAUAGCUAUCAGCACGGCCAUGGGCACAGCUAUCAGCACGGCCAUGAGUGCAGCUGUGGGUACAGCCAUGGGUACAGCCGGGCACAGCUAUGGGCACGGUCAUGGGCACAGCCAGGCAUAGGUAUAGGCACAGCCAUGGGCACUGCCAUUGACAUGACCAAAGGCACAGCCAUAGGCACAGCCAUGGGUGCAGCCAUGGGCAUGGCCGUGGGUACAGCCUGGUACAGCCAUGGGCAUGGCCGUGGGUACAGCCAUGGAUACAGCCAUGGGUACAGCCAUGGGCAUGGUCAUGGGUACAGCCUGGUACAGCCAUGGGCAUGGUCAUGGGUACAGCUAUGGUUACAGCCAGGGGUACAGCCAUGUGUACAGCCAUGGGCAUGGCCGUGGGUACAGCCAUGGAUACAGCCAUGGUUACAGCCAUGGGUACAGCCAUGAGCAUGGCCAUGGGUGUUUCACAUGAGGAGGUUGUCAAAGGAACAAAGCUUUCUGUUGGCAUGCAGCACUUGGAGAAAGUGACCUCAGAUAGGGCGCUCACUGCCCGGCUGCUUUUGGGCAGGUGGAUGUUGGGCUGUGCCUCUGCUCCCUGAGCUCUACCCGCAGCCCUGUGACAAAGCCAUAUGUCCCACUCUUGGCCCAGCUCAUGGUGUGCCCAACGGUCGCUCCUGGCAGACAGACAGACAGACAGAAAGCAUGCCAGGGAAAGAGAGUGCUGCUAAAAAUGGCUGGCAGCACAGAAUGGCAUGGGGGAACCGCCCGGUGGCACGGCAUCAGUGCCAUCAUGUGCUGCGAGCCAAGGGGGAUGAAGGCAAUCUUCAUCCAUCAGCGUGCCCCGUGCUGUGACUCACAGCUAUUAAAGGAGCCUUUAUGGGCCGUGAGUCAGUGCGGGACGGGAGCAUCCCGGGCUGCUUUUUGCCCAAACCUUGUUUUUCUGAGGGUUGUUUUCCUCCCUUACUCACACUGCCAUGCACACCUCCUGUGGGCAGCCAGGGGGAAACCGCAUGGGCACCGCUGGCUAUUUGGGGCACUUCCACAGCCAGGGCGUUUUGCUGCAUCCCCUCCCUCCGGCCAGGAGCGCUCUAUGGGGCGAUAUCCCCAUCCGUAUGCUUUCCUCUCAUGCAGGGACCUCUGGGAGAG
ensembl:lncRNA